CUAUUUAGUUGUAUAAAAUUUCUAUUUUAUUGUAUCAUAUCUUUACCCGAUUGCUCAGAACCUUUAAUUAUUAUAAGCUCAACUAUAUCAGUGGUUUGAAUCUCUGCGUAUUAAAAGGAGCUGAUUAA
rfam:Populus trichocarpa scaffold_17_contig_379, whole genome shotgun sequence.